UACCCAGAUAGUGCUCUAGUUGACUGGGAGACAAGAGAUUCCAAGUAAUGAGGAGCUUUUUCUGAAAUUUUUGCAAGAAGCUCCAAAUUGAAAACAGGAGAGUUGAUGUGGGUACAUAAUGAAGGCCUGGCUGGGUCGGCUGUGGAAUUCUAUGGAAGCUGAAACCUGUUUAAUGGAGCCCGUACCUUUCCACGUUUGGGCCCUGUACCAGCUUCAUCCUUCUACUACCCAGACAAAAGGACCC